ACUAAAGCGUGACUAGAUCACUCGAGGCAUACCUGCUGUGGUUAUUUGGGUACAUCCUGUUCAACAACUCACACGGGCACUGUGUGGAUAGGGUGCUUCUGCUAUACGCACAGGAGAUCACCGAUGCAGAUGAGGAUGCCAUACCCUUAUAUAGUUGGGGUUCAGCGGCUCUUGCAUGCACAUAUCGUGGACUCUGCAAGGCAUCACGACAGAAUGAUAGGAAUGCUGUUCUAACGGGGUGCCCAUUUCUGCUACAGUUUUGGUCUUACGAGAGGAUUGCUAUCGGUCGUCCCAUGAUUGACUAGUCACCGUACACGCCGGAUAUGUACGGUGACAUGGAGAACGACAGACCCACCAUGGGGACUCUCUGAUACUCUCGAUAGAAAACAUGGGCACAUGUACAGACCCGGCGGUCUUAUCCUGGGUUUGUUGCCGAAUUUGAUCGAUUGACCCCAGAAGACAUUGUGUGGGAGCCAUACAGUCCUUCGGCUAUAGCCGCACGUGCACCGCUUGGGAUAUCUUCAGUGUGCACACAAGACCAGGUCCUAUGGAUGACUACUGCAGCUUUGGUGUAUGACGUUGCAGUUGAGGCCCACUGCCCGGAUAGAGUCAUGAGGCAGUUCGGUCGACGCCAGUCUUUCCCUGUGUCUUCAGCGUUGGAUCGUGUUCAGCGCCACGAUCAUAGGUAACAAAAAUGUAUGAGCACCCAUGCACUAAUAACGUGAAACUAAUUUCUAUUUAAUGUGCAGUUUAUCAAGGGAGGGGCAUCCUUUCUCGACAAUGUGGGUCACUAGAUUACAACCAUGGGUGGCUGCGUGGGAUGAUGCAGACGAGCAGUUGGCUGAGGAUACCGGUCCACACACUGAGCCUUCGUUUCGGGCGUACCUGACCUGGAUCGCUAUGCACGACACAGGGAUGAGGCAUUAGCUGGGGCGUUCGAGGCAUGCAGGCUGCUUGAAUUAGAUUGCUCACUGAAUGUAAUGAGGAUUCAUGGCGGGUCUACGAUGAGCGUGCCGGCACAACUCGAGGCCUGGACCACUCAACGUGAUAGAGCCCGAGGUAUGCUUUAGGCCUUUGGUACGCGGAUGGAGUA